rnacentral:lncRNA from 1 species
GAGGGAGAGAGGAGGAAGGGGUGAGAGGGAGAAACCUGCCGCGGCUCUCCGCCUCUUUGUCUGCUCUGGGACUUGGAACAAAAGGGGAAACUCUGAUGAACUCCUUCUCCAGCUCCCUGGACGCCCGAGUAUCUCUUUCUCGCAACUUUGUCAACGCGACUUUCUCCGCUGUCAGGCUGCGCAAAAGUAUCCUAGCGCCUCGCAGGCUGCAACAAUGGAAACAAUGUCCCUUCAAAGUGCGACGAAGUGGAGGGAGAAGGUGUCAUACCAGCGACUCCAAGAGUCAUGUCACCCACUUAGCAGGAGUACUUCUACUGAAAUGCCUUCGAAUUUCUCUUACUGGAUAUAUACCUACCAGCCGCUAGCAUGAAGAUGCCAGGACCGCUGCAAGUUAGCACUGGACAAAGUAGCAUCAACUUCUUCAUUUAGAGUUUCUUCAGUUAAAUUGCUGGGAUUUUCGACAAGGCUUUCCUUAUGUGGAUUAUUGGAGUGUGAUGCCCGAGAAUUCUCUACUUGUAGAAGCACGCCCACGGGACUGCAGAAGCCUUCACACCCACCCAGCACGCUCAGAUCAUCCAGUAACCAACCCAGGAAGUUCUUGUAAGCAUGCAUUUCUUAGUCAACACUGAAUGCCUUUAGACCGAGGUCAACCUUUUCAGCUGGUACCGUGGUUUACACUGCUGGGUUGAUGGCCUAACACUGGCUUAACACUCAUGUCGGCUGCACUAAUUGAAGUCACAUCCAAGUGGGUCAAUGCACUGAACAUAUCUGAUAUAGAAGGUCCCAGAUCCUGAAUUUUUAUCAAUGGUUUGCUGUAUAAGGCUUGCCUCCCAAAUAGCUGAGGACCCUUAUUUGGGAAGAUACGUUCUGAUGGUUAAGCAACAGCACAGAUGUCGAUGGGAAUGAGUGAUGGCCAUCCAGUGACCAGCUGGAUCUGACUGCCUUACAAGACGCAUGUGUAUGAUUAAGAGAGAGACAUUCGUGACUCCCAGAUGUACCUCCUUCCUGUCCCACAGUGUUCCUGAAGGGAGUGAGUUAUGGGGUAACUUAUAACACAGCAGGCUCUUCCUCAAGAUAGCUCUUGUCAAAACAGGAAGACGAAACUCGGGUUUCCAUGAGGAGACCACAGCUUGGGAUCCUGUCUGGAUGUACAAGCAGAAGCAUCUUCAUACUUUUCCAUUUCUAACCAUCAUGCCUCACCCCACCCUCCCAAGGCGACAUCUGCAGAGAGGUGGAACCAUCUAGGGAGGCCUGCCACUGUUUGCUGAGCUCCGGGUGAGGAUGAAGACACUUUGACAUGGCCAGCUUCAGACUCGGGAUCUGUCGGUGUUAGCAGCCGAAGGAGAAUGAGGAGGAAGAGGAGGAGAAAGAGGAGGAGGAAGUAAGACAGAGGGGGACAAGAGGACCAAGAGGGCACAUGGCUGAGGAGGAGGAGAACAACAACAACAACAACAACAACAACAACAACAAGAAGCUUGGUGUUUUCAGGAUGUGUUCCUGAGUCUCGUGAGUAGCACAUGGCAGUUGUUGUCACCUUGGGCUGAGCCGUGAAGAUUCUCACCCUCCCUUGUUGGGGAUGAACUCCGGGAUUCUAAGGAGAGGUCAGCAGGUGUUUCACAGACUGUUCCUGUUGGAGGAUUUGUCUGAUACUCUUCUCCUGAUUAGUCUGGGCUCUACAUUUCCCCAAGGGUGAAACUUGGAAGCCCUCUCCAGGAUGCAGCAGGUAGCUGAGGAGAAAACGAAGACUGACCAGCCCAGAGCUCAGAGCUUCCUCCCAUGCUCAGGAUUUACCACCAAUGCCAUUACAUCGGCCUCUUCUUGUAUGCCUCUGGAAACCACAUGUGUCCUCUGUUUGUAAUGGUUUGGCUAUGGUUGCUGGCCCCUCUUGGACAUUGUUUUCAGAACUUAAAGAAACAUUGCUUUAAAGAUUUAUUAGAACAUAUUUAAAAUAAAACCAUCUUCUCAUUUAGUAUGCAA